rnacentral:lncRNA from 1 species
UGCAUUUGAUGAUUUGUUCUGCAUAUGAAUCUCUUUGUAAAACGUUUUGUUUUGCAUUACUGUUUCCAUAUGUGUUAUGUACUAGCAUGUAAUACAACAUUAGUCUCAUUGCCUGAUACCUCCUAAUUGCAGUAUCAGGUGUAAUCUAUUCUUCCUCAUAGUAACCAGAUGUCUUCUAUCAUGUUCUAUUCAAUCUGCUCUGUUAACAGAUCUGUGGGCCUAGGUGACAUCAUCAGUUGUUCUGCUUCUAGAGUCUCUGGGUCUUUGAAAAGUGCCAUAUAAGUCUGUUGUGGUGUUCUGAUUAUUAUAAUGAUCAUAAUGAUGAUGAAUGUAAUUAUUAUUAUUGGGUAGAAUGCAUCUGUCAUGUCUGCUCCUGCUACGCCCUCUGGUGGUCGUCCGGUGUCUCCUUGACCUACAGCUCUUUCCCUGUACUCGCUCUCUCCCCCUCCCUCUCUGUUUAAUUGUGUGGUUGGAGAAAGGUGUGCUGGAGUCAGAGCAGAUCCAUACCAGCUGCAACUCAUCCAUAAAUCAAGACUUCUACAUAUACCCAUUCCUGCCAACUUCCACUCUGCCAGAUCGUAAUCUCUGCUCAUACCGCUCUGUCUCUGGCUCCUGUCUACUGUUCCACAUCUCACCACCAACCACCUUGCUCUGGAUUUUACUCCCCACCAUUACCUUGGAUUCCCCUCAGGACCUGUUUCCCUGUUCUGCUCAGGCAACUCCAAACUCACUCUACACUCCUGUUUUUUUUUUUGCGCUCAUCUGAGCUACCCCGGUUCUGCACUUCAUAUUUCUCUGUGUUCAAUAAACAUUUUGGUGCAUUCCUCCCGGC